rnacentral:misc_RNA from 1 species
GUAUUGAUUCGCGCGUGAUCGCGCAAAGAACAUUCUACACUAGGGUGUUUGAUGUUUAAAAACGUGAGCACCCCCCUCCGAGGAAGGGGGGACACACGCGGUGAUGCACAAAGGGGUGAGAUGGAUUUUGUGCGAGAGCGCUCGGGCGUGCACGACCUUUGAAGGUCAGCGACAGCCCUCGCACCUCGGUUGUACGAUAAUGAUCCUUCCGCAGGUUCACCUACGGAAA